rnacentral:rRNA from 1 species
UUGUACUGAUUGAGAUUUUUAACACGAAGUGAGUGGCGAACGGGUGAGUAACACGUGGGUAACCUGCCCAGAAGUAGGGGAUAACACCUGGAAACAGAUGCUAAUACCGUAUAACAGAAGAAAACCGCAUUGGUUUUUACUUUUAAAAGAUGGCUCUGCUAUCACUUCUGGAUGGACCCGCGGCGUAUUAGCUAGUUGGUGAGGUAAGGCUCACCAAGGCAGUGAUACGUAGCCCGACCUGAGGAGGGUAAUCGGCCACUAGUUGGGACUGAGACACCGGCCCAGACUCC